CGCUGAGCAGGACGCGCGGAGCCAUGCCGGGCUGGAAGAGGAACAUCCCCAUCUGCCUGCAAGCCGAGCAGGAGCGGGUUGCCAGCUCCUUGUUCACUAAAGGCCUGGUGGUCAGAGGUGUCACCUCUGUCCUGAGAGUUGGUUUUUGGCAUCUGAGCUCAGCCAGGAUGGCUUCAACAAGUGAACUGCAUCAAUCUCUCUGCUAUCCCUUGCAUUUUCAGAAUCCACCUUUAAGACACAGCUAACUGGCAGAAUAAUUGUCCUCGCUUGUCCAUCCUUAGGCCAGCGUUGUGACCUGAGCCUGAGAUGAGGCUGCAGUGGAAUUAAAAGACCAUUUUGCUACUUGGACACAAAUUUUAAGUUCAGUGACAAACAAGUAUUUGGCUUGGAUUUGAGUCAGGAAUUAUUUACACAACAGCCGGGCAGAAACUACAGUGACAGUCACACAGAAAAUACACUGGGGAGCGAAAUUCAGUUCCUGCCGAAUGGAUGCGGCUCUCCUGAAUUCUGGAGGUUAAUUUACUUGUGCCAGCAAAUUUAUUGAGCCCUUGUGUCUCUUAGUGGAGGCCAUUUAUUAGUCCAAGGUCUCUUCUGAAAAGUCAGAGAAAAAGAGUGCUAAAAAUAUGUUGCCUCCUUCACAUAUAUUUCCAUGAGCUGUAUUUCUUAUUCUUACGUUUUCUGGUGGCUUUGUAAAUAUCCUAGUAUUUUGGAAAGUGGUAAGAUUUGGGCAUAAAGCCUUUUCAAAAUAAUGUUUUUGAUGAAGUUUCCUGUUUUGUGAGGAAUAUACCUGUAAAUUAUUAUUAUUAUUAUUGAAACCAACCAACCAGUGCAUGAGAUACAGGCUUUAACUAAGUUUUCUUGUAGAGGCUCCAUAGAUGUGGUGAUCUGGUAGGACCAAUGAAACGAAUCUCCUCUCUUCCCAAAACGCGUUCUGAAAUUAUAAUUUGUUGUGCUUUUAACUUCACCUCUUACUGGGGCUGUUUGCAAAAUGUGCAGGAGCCAGAUAAACUUGCAGGAUUUGCAUGUCAAAAGUGAAGCAGUUGAUGAAAAGCUUUGAGCUGGGGUGUGCGUGUCUGUAUGGAGAGGGGAGAGAGUUUUAUGGGCGUAGAAGAAUGAAAUGGAUGGCAUAAGGAUAAUUCAGUGGCUUUAGUUGUUGCUCUUGUGUGUCAAUAACUUACUUAACUCGGGAAUAUUAGUAGUAGCAAGAACCCGCAAACAAGCCACUCCUCACACCUCAAGCACAAAGUGUUUAAAAUACAGCUGGUGGUUUUUUUUGUUGUUGUUGUUCACGUAUGCUUAUUAAGUUUAACUUUUUUAACACUUUUUUAACACUUUUAACUUAAAUAUCUAUCAUGUUGUCCCCAAUUUCAAUAUUGUAUGGUUUCAGUAUUCCCAAGGUUUCCUGUCAUUACCAAUGCUGACAAAAAUGCUGCACUAAUUCAGGCUUUUCAUACGGGCUCUCUUAUUUCUUGUCUUAUUUGAAUGCACUAACCCUAAAGUUUUUGGAAUUUCUCAUCUGCCUAAGGCCAUGCUUUCAUAUGUCCGCAGAUUCAGGCAUGCUGUGGUACCUGUGUUUGUAUUUGUUUAAAGAAAUAAAAACAAGUAAAACCAAGCA
rnacentral:lncRNA from 1 species